rnacentral:rRNA from 1 species
CGCGAGUCGCAGGUGCUCGCAAAUAAACAACCUUGAACCUUGAAGGCGCAAUGAAAGUGAAGGUCGGUGGUUCUGAUCGACCGAGGCGGGAUCCGUCCGGGCAUCGACCCCUCUCUCUCUCUCCCUCGGGAAAGAAGAAGAGUUGCGGCGAGCCCGGCGGCGCACCGCCGGCCCGUCUCGACCGCUUCUCGUCGGCGAGGCGGAGCAAGAGCGCACACGUUGGGACCCGAAAGAUGGUGAACUAUGCUCGGGCAGGACGAAGCCAGAGGAAACUCUGGUGGAGGUCCGUAGCGAUUCUGACGUGCAAAUCGAUCGUCGGACCCGAGUAUAG